AGUGAACGCUGGCGGUAGGCCUAACACAUGCAAGUCGAACGGCAGCACAGUAAGAGCUUGCUCUUACGGGUGGCGAGUGGCGGACGGGUGAGGAAUACAUCGGAAUCUACUUUUUCGUGGGGGAUAACGUAGGGAAACUUACGCUAAUACCGCAUACGACCUACGGGUGGAAGCAGGGGAUCUUCGGACCUUGCGCGAUUGAAUGAGCCGAUGUCGGAUUAGCUAGUUGGCGGGGUAAAGGCCCACCAAGGCGACGAUCCGUAGCUGGUCUGAGAGGAUGAUCCGCCACACUGGAACUGAGACACGGUCCAGACUCCUACGGGAGGCAGCAGUGGGGAAUAUUGGACAAUGGGCGCAAGCCCGAUCCAGCCAUACCGCGUGGGUGAAGAAGGCCUUCGGGUUGUAAAGCCCUUUUGUUGGGAAAGAAAAGCAGCAGGUUAAUACCCCGCUGUUCUGACGGUACCCAAAGAAUAAGCACCGGCUAGCUUCGUG
rnacentral:rRNA from 1 species